rnacentral:rRNA from 1 species
GAUGAACGCUGGCGGCGUGCCUAAUACAUGCCAGUCGAGCGAACAGACGAGGAGCUUGCUCCUCUGACGUUAGCGGCGGACGGGUGAGUAACACGUGGAUAACCUACCUAUAAGACUGGGAUAACUUCGGGAAACCGGAGCUAAUACCGGAUAAUAUAUUGAACCGCAUGGUUCAAUAGUGAAAGACGGUUUUGCUGUCACUUAUAGAUGGAUCCGCGCCGCAUUAGCUAGUUGGUAAGGUAACGGCUUACCAAGGCAACGAUGCGUAGCCGACCUGAGAGGGUGAUCGGCCACACUGGAACUGAGACACGGUCCAGACUCCUACGGGAGGCAGCAGUAGGGAAUCUUCCGCAAUGGGCGAAAGCCUGCCGGAGCAACGCCGCGUGAGUGAUGAAGGUCUUCGGAUCGUAAAACUCUGUUAUUAGGGAAGAACAAAUGUGUAAGUAACUAUGCACGUCUUGACGGUACCUAAUCAGAAAGCCACGGCUAACUACGUG